rnacentral:rRNA from 1 species
UUCUGGUUGAUCCCGCCAGAGGCCACUGCUAUCGGAGUUCGAUUAAGCCAUGCGAGUCGAGAGGUGCAAGACCUCGGCAUACUGCUCAGUAACACGUGGACAAUCUAACCUAUGGAAGGGGAUAACCCCGGGAAACUGGGGAUAAUACCCUAUAGACUAUGAAUGCUGGAAUGCUUUGUGGUCCAAAGGUCAGCCGCCAUAGGAUGGGUCUGCGGCCGAUUAGGUUGUUGUUGGGGUAACGGCCCAACAAGCCUGUAAUCGGUACGGGUUGUGGGAGCAAGAGCCCGGAGAUGGAUUCUGAGACACGAAUCCAGGCCCUACGGGGCGCAGCAGGCGCGAAAACUUUACAAUGCGGGAAACCGUGAUAGGGGAACUCCGAGUGCCCGUUAAAUCGGGCUGUCCAUCAGUUUAAAUAACUGGUGAAGAAGGGGCCGGGCAAGACCGGUGCCAGCCGCCGCGGUAAUACCGGCGGCUCGAGUGGUGGCCACUAUUACUGGGCUUAAAGCGUUCGUAGCUGGUUUGUUAAGUCUCUGGGGAAAUCUUCCGGCUUAACCGGAAGGCGUUUCAGGGAUACUGGCAGACUAGGGACCGGGAGAGGUGAGGGGUACUCCAGGGGUAGGAGUGAAAUCCUGUAAUCCUUGGGGGACCACCUGUGGCGAAGGCGCCUCACCAGAACGGCUCCGACAGUGAGGGACGAAAGCUGGGGGAGCAAACCGGAUUAGAUACCCGGGUAGUCCCAGCCGUAAACGAUGUGCGUUAGGUGUAUCGGUGACCACGAGUCACCGAGGUGCCGAAGAGAAAUCGUGAAACGUACCGCCUGGGAAGUACGGUCGCAAGGCUGAAACUGAAAGGAAUUGGCGGG